ensembl:lncRNA
AUGAGUCCAUGCGUCUUCUUAAUCUUGGUGAUUUUGUGGCCAGUAAUGGCUGUGGAGAUGUCCACCUUGGAGGGCCAGCAGAUCCUCCAAGCCUUGCACUGUCCGCCCUGCGAACGCAUCCAUUGUUCCCCUCGUCGAGCGCUGAAGCUCCAGUGUCAGGGUGGAGUCACCACUGGGAUCUGCGGAUGUUGUCCGGCCUGUGCUAAACUCGCGGGAGACAGCUGUGGAGGCACCUGGGACUACCUGGGGAAAUGUGAUGAAGGGCUGGUUUGUAUUUACCCAGAAGAAACAGGUGGAAAACCAGAAGCACAACCCAAGGGAACCUGCAAAUCAGUGCUGGAGGUCCUCAAAGCUGACACCUGCAGACCUGAGUGCACAUGGGAGUUCUGCGAGACAAAUCCCAAUGAAAUAUGCUCGGCCAGGUCUGUAUCGCUGGAGAAGCGUGAGUGUGGAGGACACUGCCAGCACACGACCUGCUCCAGCUGCCUGCUUCUCAGACCUCCGUCUUGUCCUCAGUCCUGUUCCCCGACAGACCACGUGUGUCUGCAUCGCUUCGGCAGGUGUGUGCGAGAAAAACACCCACCCGUCUGCCAUCACAACCUACAGGUGAAUUUUAUCCCUGAGUUAUCAUUCUUUUCUGACAUAAAUAUGAAAUAUAUUUCUGCUUAUUUGUGUGGUUUUUUUUUUAAAUUAAGACAAAAUGCUUUAAAUGAAUGA